rnacentral:rRNA from 1 species
CCUACGGGAGACAGCAGUGGGGGAUAUUGGACAAUGGGGGGAACCCUGAUCCAGCGACGCCGCGUGAGUGAAGAAGUAUUUCGGUAUGUAAAGCUCUGUCAGCAGGGAAGAAAGAAAUGACGUUACCUGACCAAGAAGCCCCGGCUAACUACAUGCCAGCAGCCGCAGUAAUACGUAGGGGGAAAGCUUUAUCCGGAAUGAAUGGGUGUAAAGGGAGCUGCGACGGUAAAGUAAGUCUGGAGGUAAAGGUCGGGGCGCAAACCCGGGACUGCUCUUGAAACUAUUCAACUUGUGUGCAGGAGAGGUAAGCGGAAGUCCGAGUGUAGCGGUGAAAUGCGUAGAUAUUAGGAGGAACACCAGUGGCGAAGGCGGCUUACUGGACUGUAACUGACGUGGAGGCUCGAAAGCGUGGGGAGCAAACAGGAUUAGAUACCCCAGUAGUC